CCUGAUUCUGUUUAUGUCACUUUGCAUCAGUUCAUGUAUCAAGACAUAUUUGCACAAGAGAAGGAAUUUGUAAGUGGCACAAUGAAUCUAAUGCUGGAUCUGGAGUCAGGAGCCAAUCAGGGCUGGGUUCAAAUUCAGCCCUAGACACUACCUCUCUGAUCUUGGGAGGCAGAAGAAGGGAAGGAGAACAUUCAGUUCAAUCCAUACAAAAAUAGGGCUCUUGUAAGGAGCAAAUAAGCUACGAUGCUGUGCCAUGUAUCCUAUCAGUAUGUUUGACUGAUGCAAUUCCUCAUCUAGACUAGGCUGGUGAGCCAGCUUCUCAGAGAAUCAUCACGAUGUGUAACACAAGUACCUUGAAGAGAUUUGGAGGUCCUGGAAAUCCCAAGGAACAGAUCAUUACAGAAUUUAUCUGAAGUCCAUUCAUGUCAAUUAAGCUAGCUUUGAAGAGGAAAAAGGACAGAUGAGACCCAGAGGAUUUCUGCUGAAGAAAUGCAUGAAGCUCUUCUUCCAAUGUUGAUAUUUCAUUCCAGGCUUCUCCAAAUCACUGAUAAUAAAUACUUUGAUAGCUU